rnacentral:rRNA from 1 species
UACGUAGGGAGCAAGCGUUGUCCGGAUUCACUGGGUGUAAAGGGUGCGCAGGCGGACUUGUAAGUCAGGGGUGAAAUCUUACGGCUUAACCGUGAAACUGCCUUUGAUACUGCAGGUCUUGAGUUCGGGAGAGGUUGAUGGAAUUCCAGGUGUAGCGGUGAAAUGCGCAGAUAUCGGGAGGAACACCAGUAGCGAAGGCGGCUCGCUGGGCCACACCUGACGCUGAGACGCGAAAGCUAGGGGAGCGAACAGG